GGCUAGGUUGUCGUGCUAAUAACGCGAAUGUCGAGGGUUCGAGCCCCUCUCUGGCCA
rnacentral:tRNA from 1 species